GCCUGCCCAAUGGUUGUAUCUAAAAGCGGUUGAUAAAAGUCGACCUCGUAAGGACAAUUGAAUGGCCGCGGUAACACUGACCGUGAUAAUGUAGCGUAAUCAAUAGCCAAUUAAUUGUUGGCCAGUAUGAAUGGCGCCACGAAGGCCCCACUGUCUUAAGGAAAUUCCCAGUGAAAUUGAAUUCGUAGUGAAGAUGCUACGUGCAAUUUGUUAGACGAAAAGACCCCGUUGAGCUUUACUGGAGCACUUACAUGGCCCUGGCCUUCCCAUGCUUGGGAACCGGCCGAAUUUCCCUAUCAAAUGAUAGGCUACUAGAAAAUGGGCGGCUUAGAUUAUGUGGCAGCCCCCCGCUGGGGCAAAUGACACCCCACUCCCCCAUGUCAAAGGGGCUAACCCCCCCCCUUGGGGGGACAGUGUAAGUAGGACAGUUUGGUUGGGGCGACCGCCUUUUAAAGAGUAACGAAGGUGCGCUUAAGGUGCGCAAUAAAUGACUGAAGCCUGACUGCGAGGGGGACACCCCGAGCAGACACCCCAAAGCCCGCCCGAAGGGCGGCGGUGGGGUGG
rnacentral:rRNA from 1 species